UCCUCCAUAGCUCAGUUGGCAGAGCAUUCGACUGUUAAUCGAAGAGGUCACUGGUUCGAGCCCAGUUGGAGGAG
rnacentral:tRNA from 1 species